rnacentral:lncRNA from 10 species
UUUAUAAUUUGCAUCUUUUAACUCGGAUCUUUCAUGAAAGGAAUCUUUGUAUUUUCUAUUAUGAAGAACAUAUAGUGCUGAGUAGUACUUAACACUUGUUUAUGUAAAUGAAAUGCGUGAACUACAAGUAAAGGCAUGCUUAAUGAAGAAAUGCUCUUUAAUUCCACAAUCCUGAUAAAGGGUUUCCUUCACAUUUAAGAAUAUUACAGUUAAAAUUAAGUCAGAAUAAUGUAAAAGAAAAAAAAAAGCUUAAAUCCUUCGAUGAUGUGUUCUACCAAUGUGUCUGUGUUUUCUGAGUAGUCAACUUAUUUUGCUAUGCUUUAGGAAAAAUUUUAAUAGCACUACUGUGUUGCGUGGGUAAUGGGAUUUAUGGGAUUUAUAGCUCACAUAAAACAUUCAUAUAAUUUGUAUUUUGAUCUUUGUGGUAACUCUUACACAUGAGGAAACAGUCUCAAAGAAAAAACUGGGGGUCUAAUAUUUGUUGUUUAUAGCAUUAUUUGAUGGCUAAUUACAUAUUCUUUAUAUUGCAAUUGAUAAUUCCUUAUAUAUAUUUAUCUAUUUUGUCUCCCCAAACAAAUUAUGAGUUCCUUGAGAAGAGGCAUGAUGUUUUAUAUAUUUUUUAAUCCCUCAAAGAACUUAGCACAGUAAAAGUAAGAGAAGAAAACAUGAUGUCAUUAACAGGUGCAUGAACUGUGCUGUGCGGUGUUCAUAUUAUUGCAGGCAUGCCUAUAUUCCAAGCUAGAAAACAAGUUAGUAAUAUUUGAGAGUAAGAUAAUCUUGUGCUUUCCAUUACUUUUUUAUUAUACCAAUGACUAUAACAAAACUAGAAAUAUGGUGUCACUCAACAGUUCUUAAGUGAAAAUUUUAUGACCAUAAUUAGAUGUGAUAGUUGAUGUUAUCGCUAUCUACCACUCAUUCUUUGACUUAUUCAUCUACAAAUAUUUUUUCAGAGUCUUCUGUGUAUCAGGCUCUUAUGAUGUUGCUGUGAAUGUGAUAAGCAAGAUCUUUAAUAGAACUUAGUUGCAGCGAAGGA